GCUCUGUAAGCCGUCCGCAAUGCGCUUGUGAUCGAGUCUGGCCAGGAGAUGGAAUGACGUUUUGGACGCGCCGUUACGAGGAUAUGUAGCAGGAGUCACCGAUGACGGGCGCAACGUAAACCACUACCACGUGAUUGUUGCGCUCUGAUACUUACCCGACUGUAAUGCUGCUUGGAUGCGUACGGCAAGUCCACCACGCUUUGUUCCACUCUCCUCUCGCACACCGGGGCCAUGUGCAUCUUGUAUUGUGCAUUACCUGUUCUCUCUCUCUCUCUCUCUGUCCUCGUAGGCUCCGUUUACGUAGGAUAGGGAUUCUUCAUGCAAAGAAUCGUUGCUUUUUUUCUCUCUUGUAGGCGACAGCUCAGCUGUUCUUAGUUUGCUAGUCUGUUUUCUUCUAAAGAAGGCUUUGUUAGAACGCA